GAUGAACGCUGGCGGCGUGCCUAAUACAUGCAAGUCGAGCGAACAGACGAGGAGCUUGCUCCUCUGACGUUAGCGGCGGACGGGUGAGUAACACGUGGAUAACCUACCUAUAAGACUGGGAUAACUUCGGGAAACCGGAGCUAAUACCGGAUAAUAUAUUGAACCGCAUGGUUCAAUAGUGAAAGACGGUUUUGCUGUCACUUAUAGAUGGAUCCGCGCCGCAUUAGCUAGUUGGUAAGGUAACGGCUUACCAAGGCAACGAUUCGUAGCCGACCUGAGAGGGUUAUCGGCCACACUGGAACUGAGACACGGUCCAGACUCCUACGGGAGGCAGCAGUAGGGAAUCUUCCGCAAUGGGCGAAAGCCUGACGGAGCAACGCCGCGUGAGUGAUGAAGGUCUUCGGAUCGUAAAACUCUGUUAUUAGGGAAGAACAAAUGUGUAAGUAACUAUGCACGUCUUGACGGUACCUAAUCAGAAAGCCACGGCUAACUACGUG
rnacentral:rRNA from 1 species